AUUGAACGCUGGCGGCAGGCUUAACGCAUGCAAGUCGAGCGGAGAUGAGGUGCUUGCACCUUAUCUUAGCGGCGGACGGGUGAGUAAUGCUUAGGAAUCUGCCUAUUAGUGGGGGACAACAUUCCGAAAGGAAUGCUAAUACCGCAUACGUCCUACGGGAGAAAGCAGGGGAUCUUCGGACCUUGCGCUAAUAGAUGAGCCUAAGUCGGAUUAGCUAGUUGGUGGGGUAAAGGCCUACCAAGGCGACGAUCUGUAGCGGGUCUGAGAGGAUGAUCCGCCACACUGGGACUGAGACACGGCCCAGACUCCUACGGGAGGCAGCAGUGGGGAAUAUUGGACAAUGGGGGGAACCCUGAUCCAGCCAUGCCGCGUGUGUGAAGAAGGCCUUAUGGUUGUAAAGCACUUUAAGCGAGGAGGAGGCUACUGAGACUAAUACUCUUGGAUAGCGGACGUUACUCGCAGAAUAAGCACCGGCUAACUCUGUGCCAGCCGCCGCGGUAA
rnacentral:rRNA from 1 species